rnacentral:lncRNA from 1 species
GGGGCCUCUGAUGGUGUUUGUCUAAAGACCACAUUUGGAAUAGUGAGUGCCUGGGUUAGAAAUUGGCAGAUUACCACUCAUAGGCCACAUCCGGUCCACUACCCAUAUUUGUAAAUGAAGUUUUAUCGGAACAUAGCUAUGCUUAUUUAUUGACAUUUUGUCUGUGGCUGCUGUUGUGCAACAAAAGCAGAGUGGAGUAGUUGUGACAGAGACCAUAGGGCCCACAUUGCUGGCCUUUGAAGAGAAAGUGUGCUAGUCGCUUUUCUAAUCAUCUUUUGGAUCCCUACAAGUUAUAAAACUUUGGUAAGUAUUAGAUGCUAAUAAAAAUAGUAAUGAUUGCAGUUAAGAUUUGAGGAUUUGAGUGCUUUCUGGGUACUUAGCUCUUUAUGUUUAUUUUUUUCUUAGCUCAAUUCUAUCAUAGGCAAUACUACUGUCUCCACUUUACAGGCAAGAAAACGGAAUAGAGAGGCUGGGCCAUUGGCCCAGAGUUUGUGGACCAGUGAGUAGGUGAGGCCAAUUUGAGUCAAGUCGCCUGAUUCUUACUGGACAGGAGCUUCUGCCUAGAACUUUUUCCCAGAGCACAGAGAGGGUUUUGUUUAGAUUUUCUUCUGUCCCAGAGUGUUCUGAUGCCUUCAUUUCUUUCUCAAUUGAUCCUUCUGUUUACUCAACAAAUACCUGUGCAGCCUGUGCUGGAAGUUUGGGGACCAUGCUGGGUUCUGAGAGGGUGUGGGGACUAGGAUGGGGUCCCAGCCCUGCACAUUCAGUGGAGUCAUCAGGGACGCAGCACCAGAAGCCACGCAGGAUGCUAAGCACCUUGGGGGUUACUGGUACAGGUACUGGAGGCAGUCAGGGAAGGCUUCUUGGAGGAAGGGGUGCACAUGAUGCCAGCAGGAGUUAGCUUUGUAGAGGAGGUCAGGAAAGGUUUUCUGAGGAGAGAGAAUCACAAGUGCAAAAGUUUGGAGGUGUGAGACCCUGUGGCCUGGUUUGGUAGAGUUCAGGGCACAGAGACUGUAGUGUGUUUGUGUGUGUGUUGGGGGUUGGGGGAAUUGGUGGUGGUAUAAUAAAAUUGGAGGUCGGCAGGAGUUAAGUCAACAGAGCCUCAUUGCUAUGCCAAAGGACUUGCAUUUUGCCCUGGAGGCUACCGUUGCCUAGUAUGAAGCCCUCUGAUGACUUUCCGGAGAAAGCCUCCAUUAGGUGCUAACGUGUCUUCAGUGCUUCUCCCCAGACUCCUUAGACUCCUUUGUUUAACAAAGAUCGGACACAGCCGCCUUCUUCGGGGAUCCUUCCUUAGGCUGGCGGCCGACUCCAGCCAGGAGGCAUAAAAAAGCAUUGCUUCCUUUGAUUUUAUUUUUGCAGUAACUUUUUAAUUAGGGCAUGUUUUAAAUUUAAUCCAGCGGAUUAUAGUUUCCCUUGAAAAUAUGUUUUAAAAAUAUUGAAUCCAUUGAACAAAAAUGAGUAAGAUUAAAGGGGGUUCUGGAUGUAAUUAACAUUGGGAAGGUAGUCUUCAGCCUCUUGGAAUUUGGAGAGCCCUACAACAGGUGAGGGGGUUGGUGGGGGCUGGGCCAGUAGUGACCUCUCUCUUAACAUUCCCCUUCUUCCCUGGAACCCCAGGGGUCUUGACUGAAGGGCAGGAUGGCUGUGUAGCUAAGAUGUGGCUGCGGGGAUGUAGGUGUCCAUUGAUGGUAUGGGAGCUGAGGUUCCUGCUCCAGGCUGCUUCUGCUCCUCAUCUCUCUCCUUCUCUGUCUGGUGUUCUUCUCCUUCUUUCUCUCUUUCUCCCUCCCUUCUUUCCUUCCUUCCUUCCUUCCUUCCUUCCUUCCUUCCUUCCUUCCUUCCUUCUUUCCUUCUUUCCUUCUUUCCUUCUUUCCAUCUGUCUUGAGCCAAGAUCAUGCCAUUUUACUCUAGCCUGGGUGACAGAGUGAGACCUUGUCUCAAAAAAAAAAAA